AUUUGGCACAACACAAUUUUGCCUAGCGAAUUCAAGUCAAGUUGAAGGCAUGUCGCUGAGCAGCUGGCAAUUGAUUCAUAGUGAGGGAAAUUCAAAUUCACUUGGUGAAUUGUUAUUUUCGCUUAGCAAAAUAUGCUUUAUCAGAUUUAAUAUUUUGAAGCACUCAUAACAUAAAACCAUGACAUUCUUACGUUAGAUAGAAAACAGGGAGAAAAAUACUAGGAGACAUAGAGUGAUCAAGGGAAAACACAGGAAUCAAUUUCAUCAUCUUUUCAUCUUUUUUAGUUAUUCUCUCUGAUAUUGGAAUUAUGUUUUUUUUUUUUGAUAAAAUGAUAUUGGAAUUAUGUUUAGUUGGCUAUGAUUCUCUUGUAAACUUUUAAUCUCUAAUUGCUUAUAUAUAAUUUCUAUUACGUUAUGUUGAUGAUUUAUUUCUGC
rnacentral:lncRNA from 1 species